rnacentral:rRNA from 1 species
GACGAACGCUGGCGGCGUGCUUAACACAUGCGAGUCGAACGAUGAAGCGGUGCUUGCACCGUGGAUUAGUGGCGAACGGGUGAGUAAUACGUGAGUGACCUACCUUUGACUCUGGGAUAAGCCUGGGAAACUGGGUCUGAUACCGGAUACGACCAAUCUCUGCAUGGGGUGUUGGUGGAAAGCGUUAUGGAGUGGUUUUAGAUGGGCUCACGGCCUAUCAGCUUGUUGGUGAGGUAAUGGCUUACCAAGGCGACGACGGGUAGCCGGCCUGAGAGGGUGACCGGCCACACUGGGACUGAGACACGGCCCAGACUCCUACGGGAGGCAGCAGUGGGGAAUAUUGCACAAUGGGCGCAAGCCUGAUGCAGCGACGCCGCGUGAGGGAUGACGGCCUUCGGGUUGUAAACCUCUGUUAGCAUCGAAGAAGCGAAAGUGACGGUAGGUGCAGAGAAAGCGCCGGCUAACUACGUG